ACCUUUUACUGAGCAACUUCACUCUUUUGGUUGUUCUGAAUUGGAUCAUUAUUCCCAUAACGCAAAAAAAAUUAGAAAAGAGAUGGAAUGUAUUACUUGUUUUCACUGAUCGACAAGUGAAGGCAAAUUUGAGGAUGAGUACGGUAGCAGGUUAAUUUUCCAACAUUAGCCUAUUUACUGUAUGAUUGAAAUAUGGCUAAAAGUCUGGUGCUUAUUCUAAAUUAAGGAUCAUUGUAUUGAUCGCGUCAGGCAGUUAAGUCCUUACGACUAACAUCCCUGUCGGUAAACCGUCUUGCUAAGUACUACAGUAAAGAAAGUUGAGGUUAAGUAAAUAUAAUCAGGCUUAUCACUUUGAUUUUACUGUGAAGCUGACUUUGAUCAAUGACAUUUCCCUGAUACAUCUGUUUCUGUGCAGCCUUACAGACUUGAAUCAUUCAGCAGGACUACAAGCUCAUUUCUACAGCAAUGGUUCUAUAGGCCUGUCCAAUUAAAAUAAGGCAUUCAGGUGAAGUCCUAAAAAGACUAGCUGAUCAUACAAAGCACCAGCCUGAAGGCAGUGAGUGCUCUGCAGAGCGCUGUUGAGAAUUGUGGACCAGAUUAAAUUAAACAGCUCUAGAAAUUAAAAUAAUUCCCUGGGAAACUACACGUUGUCUAAAAUUAGUUAACUCUAUAAUAAAGCGCGGGGCAAUUUAAUGUCUGACUUCUGCUACUCAUCUCAGCGGAAACGCUUUUCUGAGAAAAAGCAGUUCAGUCUACAGCUCGCACUCUACCAGUCAAAGUGGGAGGCAUAACUUGGACAUCUAGUCCUUGACCAUUAUAAGUUCUGUUAAGUACAAGACAAUUUAGAACUGCAAAUAGUCAACGUUUACUGGCUGGCCCAAAAACGUUUACUGGCUUGCACAGGCAUGUGGAGUUCCCCAGCGUUUGUCAAUUGGUACCCUCCUGACUGACGCCAGAACGCCCUGACAUGGAAAGUGAAAUUAAAACGUGUACAGCAGGCGGCAUAGUGUGAGCGUGGUGCAUUACAAUAAUCAAGCAUCUCUAAAGCAGCGGGAGUAGUUUGAAAGUCGUUUUUAAGAUGGGAAGAUAUUGGAUGAUCUGAUCUGAGUUACAGCAGUCUAAUCCGAUCAGUGGGGCUUACAUUGUAUUCCUGCCAAGAAGAAGAGGCUUCACAGUGAAGCAGUCGGGCACCCCUCUCUAUAGAGCCAUCAUUUGGUCAAUAGUUCUUAACUUACCCUGCCCUAAACAAUAGCCUAAUGCUAUUAGACCAGAUAGGCUGCAUCUAACGUUUUCAAAAUGUCCCCCCUGGUUAUCAAAUUAAAAUAUCAGUUUAGAAGAGCAUCCCACUAGCGCUACAACAGUAGCAACAAAAUCGCCCCAUGUGGGUGUUGUGCAGAUAAAAAUAUUUUUUUAUGUCAAAUGGAAAUCUUUUCGAAGAAAGACCGCCUCCAAAACGAUUAAGCCUUCUUGUUGAGAUUUGCAACGAGUGUAUUUGAUUAGUUUUGGGGUAUUUUAUUUUAUUCCUAAUAACAUCAGAAUAAAUGUUGAAGAUAACUAAAUCACAGAGUAAUAUAUAACACCACUUGUGAUUUAUGUCAUUCUUUAAAUACUGAAAAAGGAAAACUAUGUAUGAUAAUAGUCGACCGAAAGACGAGAUUGAUUGCUUUUAGUUUACCAACAAAAUCAGCCCUCCUGAUAACCUUUGCCUGUGAAGAAAAGUUGAAUUGGUUUUAGAUUUUCUCUUUGUUAUAUUUUCAACAAACCUUUUCAGGUGAUCCAAUAAAUGCAACCAAACAUAAAACAUUCAGUCACAAUUCAAGUUAAAACAGACCAUGAUUGUUCAGAUAACUGCACAGCUACACUACAGAAACAGGUUUGUAUACGGGACUCGUGAAUAUGGGUUACUCAUCUUCACUUUUGCAAAUUCAAGAAAUUACCCAUUUCUUCUAAAAUGCUUGGUAGUUUUUUCUCUACAGGAUCUCUAUUUGCUCUCUCUGAGCUUUGCAAAGAACAAAACCCAACCAUCAAAUCCACAACUACAUCUUGCACGUGCUCAUUUGUGGUUUCUCUGAGUCUUCCCACUCACUGAAACCACACAGUGACAUCCACCGUCUCCGACCAGCACGCUCUGGUUGACUCAUUUCUGGGUUUGCCAUAUCAUGUAUCAAUGCAUCUCUGGAAAUGAGAAACAGCUUAUUUCACCUUCAAUGCGUUAAAGUGAUUCUCAUCUUAGGGUUUGGUAGCACCUGUGUUUCAAGAAUAGCCUUUCAAGAAAAGGACACUAGUUGGCCAAAGGUCAGUCUUCUGGAGCAUAGAGAAUAUGCAAAUGAAACGGAAAUGGAUAUUUGAAAUGUACUACGACAUUUUAUACAGGACUUGUACACUGUGCAUCAUGUAAUUUGUUAUUGAUUCCACUCCGCACUAUUGGAAUGUUCUGAUUUUCAUAAUAUACAUUUAUUUAUUACCGUGCCUAUUUAAUACUGUGCCUUACUGUGACAAUGCCAAUUAUCUUCAGAUUAACAGAUCCCCUCUGCAUGUCGUAACGGCAAAUAUCUUCUUGAUCAACCACUCGCCUCAAAAGACAAUAUUUAGUGGUACCAUGCAUUGGCUAAGUUCAUCACGUUUCACUGCAUUGUUGCAGUAUCUUGCAACCAACGCUAGAUGUGGAAUGUUAUUUGUAUCCAAGCUCGUCGAGAGCUACGCUGAACAGAGACGCACCUUUCAAUGCUGGAGUUUGCUGUCGCUUUACGUUUACAGCCAUAUUAAUAAUGUGCCUUUCUACAGUUCUUGCAGAAAUGUCCUAAAUCCUGGAGUUCAUUGUGUCUGCCCUGCUGCUGAGGAAAGCUUCCUGUAUAAACAGCUCUAUAGCUACUAGGGAUGGGCAAAACCAUCAUUUUCCGGGAAUCGGUUCCGUUCACUAUCACGAUUCGUUCGUUUGAUUUGUUCGUUUGAUUCGUUCGUUAAGUCAGAUGGUCUGUUACGUCAUUUGCCAGGGAAUCGGAAAUUGUGGAAUAAAUGUUAAUCAACAUGCAUGUAGCAUACUACUUUCUAUUGUUCUGGUGAAAUUACCCAGGUUAAGUGUAAAUAUUAAGCAUAUAUAUAAAGCACAUACGUGCCUUUUUUUCAUAAAUAUCCUUAAUACCUAAUGGGGUGCAGUAAAAAUUAAAUGGCGUCUUCCAAGUAGUGCUAAUAAGCAGUGAAGCACGUUAGCAACUAGACCAAACAAGACUCGUAAUGGUAGGUAAAAACAAUACUUUAUUAAAGCAUGCAAUUGAGACGUAGAACAAAAUAAA